rnacentral:lncRNA from 1 species
AUGAAGAAAUUAUAUUUAAGCCUUCAGACAGUGUUCUUUCCUGAAUGCUGGAAGUUCAUCUUAUUCAAAUAUUCAAGAAUCACAUGUGGUAGAGGACUCCAUAUAUACUUGUUUUGUCUAGGAAAGAGCAACAGAGACACGCAAAACUAUGGCCUCGUACUUUCAUCUACUCCCUCCAUUCUUAAUUAUCAGACCAAGAAAAGGGCACUGAUGGCAUCCUGA